rnacentral:lncRNA from 13 species
AUGGCCCGGCCGGAGCCGGAGCCGGAGUGGCCGCACAAAGGCAGCGCCCGCAGUCGAGGAAAUCGGGAAGCGUUAUAUAAGGAAGCCUGGGAAGUCUGCGUCAUCCCGGAUGGGGAGGGGGCCGGAGCCAGGCGCUCCCUCCCCCCCCCCCACCUUCGAUCCCAUCAUUUUUUAUUGGAUUUGAUUUUCCCGGAGCGUUUUCCAGCUGGUUUUCCCCGAAAUGGGCCGUCCCAGCUGGAUCUCCUGGAAUUUUUUCUUUCUCUUUCAGACUUUGUGGAGUUUUUUGGGUCUUUCCCCCCCAUUUCAGGGCAUAAAGCGGCUUCUGGAAUUCCCGCUCUCCUCUGGCAUCCCAGAAAAUCCUGGGAUGGGACGAGGUGCGAGGCCAGACAUGGCCCUGGCAUUCCCUGCUCCCGGGAAAUGGAGUUGGAUAAGAACGCAAACUUAGGAGGGAAGGGAAGCACUUUUUGGGGGUGGGAGGAGGAGAGGAUUUUCCUCCUUUCCCACUUUUCCUGCUUCCCAUCAGUCGUUCUGUACUUGACCCGGAGCUGCAGAAUCCGGGGACAUCCUGAGCCGGUGGCAGGGAUCUGGAAUCUGGGGGAUCCAGGCUCUGGGGGAUCCAGAAUCUGGGGGAUCUGGAAUCCAGGGAAUCCAGGCUCUGGGGGAUCAAGGCUCUGGAAGAUCCAGAACCUGGGGGAUCCAGGCUCUGCGAGUUCCGGAAUUUGGGGGAUCCAGGCUCUGGGGGAUCUGGAAUCGGCAGGAUCCAGGCUCUGGGGGAUCUGGAAUCUGCAGGAUCCAGGCUUUGGGGGAUCCAGGCUCCAGGGGAUCCAGAAUCCACAGGAUCCAGGCUCUGGGAGAUUUGGAAUCUGGGGGAUCCAGGCUCCAGGGAAUCCGGAAUCUGCAGGAUCCAGGCUUUGGGGGAUCCUGGCUCCAGGGAAUCUGGAAUCCGCAGGAUCCAGGCUCUGGGGGAUCCGGAAUCCGCAGGAUCCAGGCUCUGGGGGAUCUAGGCUCCGGGGGAUCCGGAAUCUGGGGCAUCCAGACUCUGGGCCCAGUGUGUCGGAGCCGGGACAGGCGUCCCCACGCUGGGAUCUGGGAACAGCAGAACUCCUGGAGCACUUUGCUCCAUAG